rnacentral:rRNA from 1 species
AGAGUUUGAUCAUGGCUCAGAUUGAACGCUGGCGGAAUGCUUUACACAUGCAAGUCGAGCGGCAGCGCGGGGGCAACCCUGGCGGCGAGCGGCGAACGGGUGAGUAAUGCAUCGGAACGUACCCAGACGUGGGGGAUAACUUACCGAAAGGUAAGCUAAUACCGCAUGUGACCUGAGGGGGAAAGCGGGGGACUCGCAAG